GGAGAGAUGGCUGAGCUGGUCGAAGGCGCACGACUGGAAAUCGUGUUUACCCCUUAAAGGUAACGUGGGUUCGAAUCCCACUCUCUCCGCCA
rnacentral:tRNA from 1 species